CUAGUUGAACUGGUCAGCCGUGACUGGCGCUGGCUAGGCCGGCUAGGUUGGUGGUGGAAGCUCCGAUGCUGUUGGCUGCACUUGGUUAUUGCCCUGACCUACCAUUUGGUGGGAGGCGGUGGCAUUGGAGUCGGAAAGAUGUUUGUUUAGGAGCCAUGAUGCGAGUGUUAACCCUUCCUCUAUCUGUUGCUGUCAAAAUUGAUCG
rnacentral:lncRNA from 1 species